AUAAAUACCUAGACGGGGUAUAUGGGUGAUCAAUAAGGCUCAUGGCCUAGUUUAACAGCUCACAUUACACUCUGUGGGCGUGUUGAUCUAUCAUCUCCCUUUUUCGUGGGAGAGUGAACGUCAGAAUUUAUGAAAGAAGUGGUACGUGUUCGCGCAGCCCCAAU
rnacentral:snRNA from 1 species